ACUUCAAAGGAAGUUAUGUCCCAAUGCACUAUUGCCCCAUGCUUCUAUACCAACACUUAUCUAUUUUAUUUUUUUCUAGUUUUCCAGUUCCCAGAUGGAUUGAAGUACACUUGAAUCAAAUAUCCAACCAAACUUUCUGAUAGGUAACUUAUUAGCAGUGCUCCAGCUACACUUCCUGAAAUGGAAGUGUUAAUGUGCAACUCAUGCCAGGACUGUGGCACAGUUAUGGAAAAGGUUUAUGCAGCCAGCAUAUUGGUGUAACUCCUUUUGGACUCAACAGGCUACCUAGUGGCUUAACCUACUACUGAAGGUCAGGAGAAUACUAUUCAUCUUCCACAAUGCCUGGACAUUGCCAAUUACACUUCUGGAGAUAUCCUGGAAAAUGAAACUGUGAGAACAUUCCAAGCAGUUCAGUGGGAUUAUUAUCUUUGACAAGAUUCUCUUGACAAUACACAAACCUUUGUGA